AUGGGUCAGAUCCAGUACUCUGAGAAGUAUUUCGAUGAUAAUUAUGAGUAUAGGCAUGUUGUUUUGCCUCCUGAAGUUGCAAAAUUGCUUCCUAAGAAUCGGCUUCUCUCUGAAAAUGAGUGGCGUGCUAUCGGAGUUCAGCAGAGCCGCGGCUGGGUUCACUAUGCCAUUCAUCGUCCUGAGCCACACAUCAUGCUUUUCAGGAGGCCCCUGAAUUAUCAGCAGCAGCAGGAUAAUCAGGCACAGCAAAGCAUGCUUGUCAAAUGA